rnacentral:rRNA from 1 species
CCCUUAGAUGUCCUGGGCCGCACGCGCGCUACACUGAUGCAUUCAACGAGUUUUACCUUGGCCGAGAGGCCUGGGCAAUCUUUUAAACCUGCAUCGUGAUAGGGAUAGAUUAUUGCAAUUUUUAAUCUUGAACGAGGAAUUCCUAGUAAACGCAGAUCAUCAAUCUGCAUUGAUUACGUCCCUGCCCUUUGUACACACCGCCCGUCGCACCUACCGAUUGAAUGGUCCGGUGAAGCCUCGGGAUUGUGGCCAGUUCACUUUAUUGGGAGUUGGCUGUGAGAACUUGCCUAAACCUUAUCAUUUAGAGGAAGGUGAAGUCGUAACA